AUGGAUUCGCCAGCUCUCCUUCGCUACACCACAGCCCUGAUCAUUAUGUUCCUGCCUUUGAGUGCUUCCAACGACCGCCUUGUCCCCGGCAAGCCGCUAUCCCCAGGUACAACCAUCGUCUCUGACGGUGGCAUGUUCGCCUUGGGCUUCUUCAACCCCUCCAACUCCACUCCAGACAAGCUGUACCUUGGCAUAUGGUACAACAACAUCCCCAAGCUCACAGUUGUGUGGGUUGCCAACCGUGAAACCCCAAUCACCAACAACAAUUCCUCCGCACCGAUGCUUUCCCUCACCAACGCCUCCAACCUCAUUAUCUCCGAAGGUAAUAACAGUGGUCGUGUCCUUUGGACGACGGCCAACGUGACCACUACGCCGGCGGGCCCGUCUACCCCGACGGCAGUGCUUCUGAACACUGGCAACCUCGUCAUCCGGUUGUCAAAUGGCUCCACGGUGUGGCAGAGCUUCGACCAUCGCACCGACACGAUCCUCCCCGGGAUGAAGAUUCGAAUCAGAUACAGCACACGAGGCACUACCGACCGUCCGGUGUCGUGGAAGGGGCCCGACGACCCCUCCCCGGGGCGCUACUCCUACGGCGUCGACCCGGCCGGACACGCCCCUCGAACCAUUCUUGUGGGACGGGGGAAGCUUGGUGGCUCGUAG
rnacentral:rRNA from 1 species